rnacentral:misc_RNA from 1 species
GUGAGUCAUCGAAUCUUUGAACGCACAUUGCGCCCGCCAGUAUUCUGGCGGGCAUGCCUGUUCGAGCGUCAUUUCAACCCUCAGGUCCCCCUUUUCGGAGGGGGAGACACCCUGGUGUUGGGGGACGGCAUCCUGGCCCGCUGUCUCACAGUGUGCCACGCCGCCCCCGAAAUGAAUUGGCGGCCUCGUCGCGUGCCACCCCUGCGUAGUAGCACAACCUCGCAACGGGAGCCCGACGCGGCCACUGCCGUAAAACGCCCAACUUUUACCGAGUUGACCUCGAAUCAGGUAGGAAUACCC